rnacentral:rRNA from 1 species
UACGUAGGGUGCGAGCGUUAAUCGGAAUUACUGGGCGUAAAGUGUGCGCAGGCGGCAGAGCAAGUCGAGUGUGAAAGCCCCGGGCUUAACUUGGGAAUUGCGCUCGAAACUACUUUGCUGGAGUGUGGCAGAGGAAGGUGGAAUCCGACGUGUAGCGGUGAAAUGCGUAGAGAUGUGGAGGAACACCAAUGGCGAAGGCAGCCUUCUGGGCCAACACUGACGCUCAUGACACGAAAGCGUGGGGAGCAAACAGG